rnacentral:misc_RNA from 1 species
AAAAUAUUUAACCGAUAUUAAAACCACUAACUUAGAGAAAGCAAAACAAAAAAUGCCAAAAGGCAACUUGCAUAACAUAAAAGAGAGUUCUUCAGAUGGCGUACACUAAUUCUCAAACAAAUAGCAUGCUCCCUUACUCUUUACAAGGGAAGGAAAAAAAGUGCUAAAUAAGUGUCACACAUAAAGAUCAGGAGUUCUAGCUUCUUGGUGUUAUCACACUUUUAAAUUCCAAGUUCAUACCCAAAACUAAUUAAGAAAUGAAUUUGGCUGAAUUUUGUGUUGCAACUUGCAAACUAGAAUCCCUUCAGCGUCUUUCCCUACAAAAAUUCAUUUGUAUUUUAUAGGUAAACAAUAAUAUUACAUAUAAAUCAUCUAUGCCCAGCUCCCGACAUUUCAAAGCCAAGCAUCUUCUGUCUAUAUCAAUACCAAAUAGCAAACUAAAAACAAUGACUAGCAACUCAUUUAAAGUUUUAGACAUUUGAAGGUCCACACAGUGAUCUGAAUCUCUAUUUCAUACUUAUCAUUUUGGAACUUAAUCUCUGCUUUAUUUUAUCUUUACAAUGCAUGUUCAUUUUCAAGUAACAUUAAAAAAAAAUUAUAAAUUUCAUG